rnacentral:rRNA from 1 species
CACUGCCGAGAAAAGCCUCUAGAUAGAAAAUAGGUGCCCGUACCGCAAACCGACACAGGUAGUCAAGAUGAGAAUUCUAAGGUGAGCGAGCGAACUCUCGUUAAGGAACUCGGCAAAAUGACCCCGUAACUUCGGGAGAAGGGGUGCUCUUUAGGGUUAACGCCCAGAAGAGCCGCAGUGAAUAGGCCCAAGCGACUGUUUAUCAAAAACACAGGUCUCUGCUAAACCGUAAGGUGAUGUAUAGGGGCUGACGCCUGCCCGGUGCUGGAAGGUUAAGAGGAGUGGUUAGCUUCUGCGAAGCUACGAAUCGAAGCCCCAGUAAACGGCGGCCGUAACUAUAACGGUCCUAAGGUAGCGAAAUUCCUUGUCGGGUAAGUUCCGACCCGCACGAAAGGCGUAACGAUUUGGGCACUGUCUCAACGAGAGACUCGGUGAAAUCAUAGUACCUGUGAAGAUGCAGGUUACCCGCGACAGGACGGAAAGACCCCGUGGAGCUUUACUGUAGCCUGAUAUUGAAAUUCGGCACAGCUUGUACAGGAUAGGUAGGAGCCUUUGAAACGUGAGCGCUAGCUUACGUGGAGGCGCUGGUGGGAUACUACCCUAGCUGUGUUGGCUUUCUAACCCGCACCACUUAUCGUGGUGGGAGACAGUGUCAGGCGGGCAGUUUGACUGGGGCGGUCGCCUCCUAAAAGGUAACGGAGGCGCUCAAAGGUUCCCUCAGAAUGGUUGGAAAUCAUUCAUAGAGUGUAAAGGCAUAAGGGAGCUUGACUGCGAGACCUACAAGUCGAGCAGGGUCGAAAGACGGACUUAGUGAUCCGGUGGUUCCGCAUGGAAGGGCCAUCGCUCAACGGAUAAAAGCUACCCCGGGGAUAACAGGCUUAUCUCCCCCAAGAGUU